UCUUAAAAUUCUAUAUUACUUUCUUUGUUAGGAAAUAGUAUUUAAUUUAACUUUAUCUUUUUAUUUUAUUUCCUAAAAAUAAAAUAACUAAUAUCCACGAACAGCUAAGUAUAAAUUUAUUAAGGAGAUAAAAACUCCUAGAUUGGCCAAUUACCUAUAAAAACUUUGAUAAUCUAGGCUUGGAGAUCCUCAGAACUCUCAAUUAUUUUCAUAUGAAAAAAUUACUCAUUCUGCUAAGCAACAGUCUGACUCGUUCAAGGUAUAUAAGCCUUUGUACCCACUAUCGUAAAUUAUGAUAAUUAUUACAUCUACAGAUGGAUAUAUAAACCCUUACAUCCUGCUAUAUAUUUUAUUACUUAAGUAGUCGUUCUAAUCUUUACUUCUUUACUUGUUCCCUGUAUGUACAUUGUGAAUAUUAAGUAGGAAUAAAGUAUCUCUAAUAAGUUCUAGAUGGGAAUCUGAAGUAUUAAGACGUUCAUUUAUUGAUCAUAAAUCCUUGAUUCGGUAUUCCCGUGGUUCCCCUUUAGGAAUCCCUCAUCGUCCUUCUUGUGUCACUAGCGUGCCUAGUGCCUUUUUGGGCCUACCCUUUCAGCAACGAGGAAGAUAAAUUAUUAGUGGUUUAUCAUCAUUCUUAAAUAGAUAAGGAAGGGAAGUUUCAGCUUUUGAACUAUGAUCUAGGACACAAAUAAAUAACAAAUGAAGAGAAAUAUGUAGUUCCAUGUUUCGUGAACUGAGUGGAAAGAUCCUUGAAAACUGUAAUUAUGCAUUAGAAAUCAUUAGAACUAGAAUGAUCUAUAUCAAUAGAACCUUUGAUAGACAUCAGGUCUAGUACUUGGACCGAUCUGACAGAAUGAAGUUCUUGUAUUAUACUAACUCUUCCUCAAUUGUAUGCCGGGAAAAAUCAUUAACCUGGCGCAUGUGGACUCUUAGAAUGAAGUCGUUAUAUUAUGAUAACUCUUCCUCAAUUGUAUGCUACAAAAAAUCAUUAACCUGGCGCAUUGUGGACUCUUCUUGGACUUUAGGAUAUGGAAACUUAUACUGGACUCUAUACUACAAUAAUUCUCCUUAAAUUAUGUUCCACGAUAACUUAGUGGCACGAGGACUCCGCUUAGACUUGAUUUUACAAUAAAUCAUCCUAUACUCAAACAUAGUUAUUCGUCCAGACCGAUGAAGAGUUGCCUACUUUAAUGUAGAUUAUAUUUAGUGAAUCAAAUAAAUAAAUACACUUUUUGCUUCA
rnacentral:lncRNA from 1 species